AGCGAAUGGAUUAAGAGCUUGCUCUUAUGAAGUUAGCGGCGGACGGGUGAGUAACACGUGGGUAACCUGCCCAUAAGACUGGGAUAACUCCGGGAAACCGGGGCUAAUACCGGAUAACAUUUUGAACUGCAUGGUUCGAAAUUGAAAGGCGGCUUCGGCUGUCACUUAUGGAUGGACCCGCGUCGCAUUAGCUAGUUGGUGAGGUAACGGCUCACCAAGGCAACGAUGCGUAGCCGACCUGAGAGGGUGAUCGGCCACACUGGGACUGAGACACGGCCCAGACUCCUACGGGAGGCAGCAGUAGGGAAUCUUCCGCAAUGGACGAAAGUCUGACGGAGCAACGCCGCGUGAGUGAUGAAGGCUUUCGGGUCGUAAAACUCUGUUGUUAGGGAAGAACAAGUGCUAGUUGAAUAAGCUGGCACCUUGACGGUACCUAACCAGAAAGCCACGGCUAACUACGUGCCAGCAGCCGCGGUAAUACGUAGGUGGCAAGCGUUAUCCGGAAUUAUUGGGCGUAAAGCGCGCGCAGGUGGUUUCUUAAGUCUGAUGUGAAAGCCCACGGCUCAACCGUGGAGGGUCAUUGGAAACUGGGAGACUUGAGUGCAGAAGAGGAAAGUGGAAUUCCAUGUGUAGCGGUGAAAUGCGUAGAGAUAUGGAGGAACACCAGUGGCGAAGGCGACUUUCUGGUCUGUAACUGACACUGAGGCGCGAAAGCGUGGGGAGCAACAGGAUUAGAUACCUGGUAGUCACGCCGUAAACGAUGAGUGCUAAGUGUAGAGGUUUCGCCCUUUAGUGCUGAAGUAACGCAUAAGCACUCCGCCUGGGGAGUACGCCGCAAGCUGAACUCAAAGAAUUGACGGGGCCCGCACAAGCGGUGGAGCAUGUGGUUUAAUCGAAGCACGCGAAGACCUUACAGGU
rnacentral:rRNA from 1 species